GAGUAAAGGCUCCGGCGCUCUGGGAGGGGCUUGCGGCCCAUCAGCUAGUUGGUAGGGUAAAGGCCUACCAAGGCGAAGACGGGUAGGGGGUGUGAGAGCACGACCCCCCACAAUGGGACUGAAACACGGCCCAUACUCCUACGGGAGGCAGCAGCAGGGAAUAUUGCACAAUGGGCGAAAGCCUGAUGCAGCGACGCCGCGUGAGUGAAGAAGGCCUUCGGGUCGUAAAGCUCUUUUGUAGGGGAAGAGGAAGGACGGUACCCUGAGAAAAAGCGUCGGCUAACUACGUGCCAGCAGCCGCGGUAAGACGUAGGACGCGAGCGUUAUCCGGAAUUACUGGGCGUAAAGGGCCAGCAGGCGGCUAGGUAAGUUGUGCGUGAAAGCCUCGUGCUCAACGCGAGGAAGCCGGACAAUACUGUCUAGCUAGAGGGCAUCAGAGGGGAGUGGAAUUCCCGGAGUAGCGGUAAAAUGCGCAGAUAUCGGGAGGAACACCGAUGGCGAAGGCAACUCCCUGGGGUGUACCUGACGCUAAGUGGCGAAAGCUAGGGGAGCGAACAGGAUUAGAGACCCUGGUAGUCCUAGCUGUAAACGCUGGGUGCUAGGUGUGAGGCGUAGAAGCUCUGUGCCGGAGCGAACGCGAUAAGCACCCCGCCUGGGAAUUACGGUCGCAAGGCUAAAACUCAAACGAAUUGACGGGGCCCCGCACAAGCAGCGGAGCGUGUGGUUCAAUUCGAUGCUACACGAAGAACCUUACCUGGGUUUGACAUGUACGUGGUAGAGAAGCGAAAGCGGAUUGACCCUUCGGGGAGCGUACACAGGUGCUGUAUGGCUGUCGUCAGCUCGUGCCGUGAGGUGUCGGGUUAAGUCCCGUAACGAGCGCAACCCUUGCCCUUAGUUACAAGUGUCUAGGGGGACUGCCGGCGGGAAGCCGGAGGAAGGUGGGGAUGACGUCAAGUCAGCAUGGCCCUUAUGUCCAGGGCUACACACACGCUACAAUGGUCAGUACAAAGGGUAGCGAAGCCGCGAGGUGGAGCGAAUCUCAGCAAAGCUGAUCGUAGUUCGGAUUGCAGGCUGCAACCCGCCUGCAUGAAGCUGGAGUUGCUAGU
rnacentral:rRNA from 1 species